rnacentral:rRNA from 1 species
CACGUAGGGCGCAAGCGUUGUCCGGAAUUAUUGGGCGUAAAGGGCUCGUAGGCGGCCAACUAAGUCAGACGUGAAAUCCCUCGGCUUAACCGGGGAACUGCGUCUGAUACUGGAUGGCUUGAGUUUGGGAGAGGGAUGCGGAAUUCCAGGUGUAGCGGUGAAAUGCGUAGAUAUCUGGAGGAACACCGGUGGCGAAGGCGGCAUCCUGGACCAACACUGACGCUGAGUGAGCGAAAGCCAGGGGAGCAAACGGG